UAUGGUACUGGAUUUGGAUUCGGUGGUGGAUAUGGUGGUGGUUAUGACAGUCAUCAUAGAUACUAUGGUCACGGCCAUUAUCGAAAGUAUCAUUACUGGUAAUCAGAAGUUGGACAAUGAAAUGUGUCAAGAAGUGGACAAUCGAACUCAUUUGCAAUGAUUUAAUCAUUAUUUCUUACAUUUCUUAUCCAAUGUAACCAGUUACCUUUUUUUAAUUAUUGUUUUGUUUCUAAUUCAAAUAUAAUAAAAUGUUUAAGCAGCACG